rnacentral:lncRNA from 1 species
CACCGCCCAGCCCCAAGCAGACGCCCACCGGCCUCCUCCCUGGGACUGCCCUGCACCCGGACCCACUGGGUCAGUCGUGUACAGUCUGGAAGAGACAGCACUCUCAGUGCGCCUCCCGGACUCCUGGCAUCCAGGAGCACCGUCUCCAGGGAGCCCACCAGGGCACAGCGGGAGCCAUCUCGGUCUCCCCACGCGAGGACCCACUAGUUUCGAGGUCCGAAAGGUAGAAGGCAGAGCCCUCCACUGGAAAAGGCUCUGUUCUAGGCACCGGGAAUACAUCAGCUGGAAGAAUUUCUGCAUCCUGCAGACACAGAGGAAGAGCUCCCGAGACCCCUGCAUCGCACGGUUCCUUCCUGCUGCCAGCAGUUUGGGAGGCAAAAGCAUCUGUGUCUCAGAGGAUUUGUUCUCCCAUCUCAGCCCCCCUUUGGGAAAAGCCGUUUUUCUCGCCUCUCAGAAGUGGAGGGACACUUCCUUGGGAAAGAGAGAUGAUCCUCCAUCCAGCUUUUUCUGCUGGGAAAGGUAGCCGCUGAUGGGGACUAACAUCAAAACCUGUAAAGAAAAAGGGAACAAAUCCAAACCACUUGACGGGGGCUCCCAUGGCCCUGAGAACCGCAGGCUGGUUUGAUGUCCCUCUGCGUGUUCAGGGAGUUCUGAUUCUGUACGAGAGCACAGUACCCAUUAAGUUCCACAUGCAGCCCUGAGACAACAGUGUUUGGGUACAGGGUGUAGGGAGAGAAGGGUGCAGGUGCUGAGUUAGGAAAAUUUUUUAUUUUAGCUGCACCAUGCUGUGUGGCACGUGGGAUCUUAGUUCCCCGACCAGGGAGUGAACCUCAUCCUUGCCAGUGAAAGCACUGAACCCAACCAGGUCCCAACCAGGACCCAUGGUCCCUGGUCCCAAUCACUGGACUGCCCACGAAUUCCUGCAACAUGAUUCUUGUUUUGUUUCUGACUGCACCUCGCACCAUGUGGGAUCUUUGUUCCCCGGCCAGGGAUCGAACCUGCAUAUCCUGCAUUGGAAGUGUGGAAUCUUAACCACUGGACCACCCAGGGAAGUCCCC